AUGUUUCAUGUGUGUUUAUUUUUAUUAUUAUUUUUUUAUUUAUUUUGCAGAUGGAGGAUCUAUCGUGGCCAAAAUUUGUAUCAAAAAAGGCCAAGGUCAGCUGGGUUAAGAGUCACAGACAGAGUCUGGUGGCACAAACAGUGGAUGAAGAGUUGGAUGAAGAAAGACAAAUCUGUGUUGAUUUGGCACACAAAGGUCUCAAUGGUUGCUGCUGUCCUGCUGUUUCCACUUCUGUUAAAGGAGAGUCUGAGAUCUCUUUAUGUCAUCAGUGAGGUGAGUCUAUUUGUAUCCAUAAUAUCUAAAUCUAUCAUUUUUUUUUCUUUUUCAACCCCUUCUCUUGGUUAUGAUUUCUUCUAAGUCAAGUCAAGCUUAUUUUUUUUCUUUUUCUAACCCCUUCUCUUGGUUAUGAUUUCUUCUAAGUCAAGUCAAGUCUGCUUUAUUGUCAAUUCUUCCACAUGUACAGUACAUACAUACAGAGAAUCGAAAUUGUGUUACUCUCAGACCCCCGGUGCAUACAGAUAACACUAACAGUAGAGCCUAAAAUCUACAUCAAAUAUAACAUAUAAGAUACAUAUAAGAUUUUCCGUGAACACAAAAACACAACAGUCUCUUACAGUCCUCUGAGUUGAACAUAGUAAUCGGAUGAAGUCCAGUUUAUUUUCCAAAGAGUGUAACCUCCACGCUUGCCCCUCUUCUGCUUCCUCUCACGCAACUUGUGGCACCUCUGCUGUAGGCGAGAUGCAUCAAUGGGGGUCGGUGAUGUAGGCCUCCAGAGCAGACCGAGGGCCUGCAGCUGUUCCACGUGCGUGGAGUUUAAGUCUUAAAAUACGGUUCUGCUGACAUCCAGCAGAAACUCACGACUGUAUGCGCGCUUAAAGACAGGUAGACGCGAUGAUGACGUACAAGAACACUGCGACUCACAAGACAAAAAACAAGAGAGAAGCCGCUGCGUGUGGACGCGCCGCCAUCUUUUAAUGAUGUUUAAUCUAUAAACAUUUGUUUAUAGAAUGGGGUUAUUCUGUGGAACUGUUUGUGUCCAUGCAGGUUCCACAGUAACAGCAGCAAGAAUGAAUAAAGGGAAAAUUCAAACAAAAAUUUAAAUUCUGUUAUCAUUUCCUCACUUUCAUGUUGUUUCAAACUUGUAUUACUUUCUAGAAAUUAUUUUCAAGAAUGUCACUGAAAAUCACUGACAUGUUGUUCUGGACCCCAGUGAUUUUCAUCUUAUGGUCAUUCUGUAACAUUCUUAUUCUUAACAAUAUCUUAUUUUGUGUUCUGCAGAAGAAAAACAUUAUACAGGUUUGGAACAACAUCAGGGAGAGUAAAUGACUACAAAAUAUCCCUUUAAUGGAGCCAUACACGUUUGAUUACAAUUUGCUAUAUAUAUAAUUAUAUUUUUCUCACUAUUGUCAACUUAUAAUAUAAGGGAUUCUUGCAUAAUUUAGUUUUUCAUGACCACUUGCCACCCUCUCUAUUAUCUUUUGUAUAUUAUUAAUAUAGUUUACACUGCCUCAUCUUUCUUUUUAAAGCCUCUAUUACAUUGUGACAGGUUAAAAAAAGUCAAAGAUUUAUUACCAUCUUAUUUUUGGAAUCUUAAUUAAAUAAUAAUAAUAAUAAUAAUAAUUAUAUAUAUAUAAUAUAUAUAUAUAUAAUUUCACGUUAACUACUAAAUAUUGUUAUAGUAUAACAUUAUUUUCUCCUUGUUUAGGAACCAGAUACACCCAACCCUGUGCUGUUUAUGAAGGGACAUGCCUUGGAUGCAGAGUCUCUUUAGAAAUAAUGAUGGAAGGGGAGGAGGAGGUCUGUGAAGUAGAUGAUGUGAACACAGCUCUACACUUCAUCUUCAACACUGAAUAUGCUUCAAAGUUGAGAGACACCCUGACAUUUACUGAAAACUGUUUAAUGUAUCAUAAUGCCAAAACCAAUAAUAAUAUAUUUUUUAAUUAAAUUAAUGUAUAUGUAUAUAAAUACAUGAAAUUUAUUGUUGUUUAUUUAUGUGUUUGUUUGUAAUACAUAUUUAUUGAUGAUUGUUUAUUUAUUUGUGUUUGUUGCUUUGUUUGUAAUACAUAUUUAUGUAUUAAACAGUUUAAG
rnacentral:lncRNA from 1 species